UACGUAGGGUGCAAGCGUUAAUCGGAAUUACUGGGCGUAAAGCGUGCGCAGGCGGUUAUAUAAGACAGUUGUGAAAUCCCCGGGCUCAACCUGGGAACUGCAUCUGUGACUGUAUAGCUAGAGUACGGUAGAGGGGGAUGGAAUUCCGCGUGUAGCAGUGAAAUGCGUAGAUAUGCGGAGGAACACCGAUGGCGAAGGCAAUCCCCUGGACCUGAUAC
rnacentral:rRNA from 1 species